UUUGUCGGUGAUUGUGCGAGCGGUGCCGUGUGCCCGCAGGAAUCGUUGAUUCUGCCUGUGAUGGAAGCUUCGUAGAAACAUCCGUCAAUGCCUCCUUCGUCAACGGCCGUUCCUGGAAUGUCUCUGUGGAAGAUCGGUCACAAGGCCUGCACCUCCUGACGCCGCGUUUUGCCACACAGUGCGGCUACACAUUCCACACGAGCUACACCGGCACGCUGAUAUUGCGGGCCACCUUGACGAGCUGCCACGUGUACCAGCAGGGCUCUGACCAAGUGCUGAAAACGGUAUGGAUUUUUUAUCCCAAGAAUCCGCUUGAAAACGUCUCUAUUAUUCCGUACACGACCAGAUGCAGGACCAACUACGUCUGGGCUCAGCGUGAAAUCCUGUGCGCAGAAAACUUC